rnacentral:rRNA from 1 species
GAUGAACGCUGGCGGCGUGCCUAAUACAUGCAAGUCGAGCGAACGGAUUAGAAGCUUGCUCCUCUGACGUUAGCGGCGGACGGGUGAGUAACACGUGGAUAACCUACCUAUAAGACUGGGAUAACUUCGGGAAACCGUAGCUAAUACCGGAUAAUAUUUUGAACCGCAUGGUUCAAUAGUGAAAGACGGUUUUGCUGUCACUUAUAGAUGGAUCCGCGCUGCAUUAGCUAGUUGGUAAGGUAACGGCUUACCAAGGCAACGAUGCAUAGCCGACCUGAGAGGGUGAUCGGCCACACUGGAACUGAGACACGGUCCAGACUCCUACGGGAGGCAGCAGUAGGGAAUCUUCCGCAAUGGGCGAAAGCCUGACGGAGCAACGCCGCGUGAGUGAUGAAGGUCUUCGGAUCGUAAAACUCUGUUAUUAGGGAAGAACAAAUGUGUAAGUAACUAUGCACGUCUUGACGGUACCUAAUCAGAAAGCCACGGCUAACUACGUG